UACGUAGGGUGCAAGCGUUAAUCGGAAUUACUGGGCGUAAAGCGUGCGCAGGCGGUUUUUGUAAGUCUGUCGUGAAAUCCCCGGGCUCAACCUGGGAAUUGCGAUGGAGACUGCAAGGCUAGAAUCUGGCAGAGGGGGGGUAGAAUUCACGUGUAGCAUGAAAUGCGUAGAGAUGUGGAGGAACACCGAUGGCGAAGGCAGCCCCCUGGGUCAAGAUUGACGCUCAUGCACGAAAGCGUGGGGAGCAAACGAGG
rnacentral:rRNA from 1 species